UCCUACGGGAGGCAGCAGUGAGGAAUAUUGGUCAAUGGGCGCAAGCCUGAACCAGCCAUGCCGCGUGCAGGAUGACGGUCCUAUGGAUUGUAAACUGCUUUUGUACGGGAAGAAACACUCCUUCGUGAAGGAGCUUGACGGUACCGUAAGAAUAAGGAUCGGCUAACUCCGUGCCAGCAGCCGCGGUAAUACGGAGGAUCCAAGCGUUAUCCGGAAUCAUUGGGUUUAAAGGGUCCGUAGGCGGUCUUGUAAGUCAGUGGUGAAAGCCCAUCGCUCAACGGUGGAACGGCCAUUGAUACUGCAGGACUUGAAUUAUUGGGAAGUAACUAGAAUAUGUAGUGUAGCGGUGAAAUGCUUAGAGAUUACAUGGAAUACCAAUUGCGAAGGCAGGUUACUACCAAUUGAUUGACGCUGAUGGACGAAAGCGUGGGUAGCGAACAGGAUUAGAUACCCUGGUAGUCCACGCCGUAAACGAUGGAUACUAGCUGUUGGGGGCAACUUCAGUGGCUAAGCGAAAGUGAUAAGUAUCCCACCUGGGGAGUACGAACGCAAGUUUGAAACUCAAAUGAAUUGACGGA
rnacentral:rRNA from 1 species